rnacentral:rRNA from 1 species
AUUGAAGGAAUCAGCGUGCUUCCUGUCGGAUACGACUGGGUAGCCCGUUGAACCACUUUCGCACUGAAGAUAGGGGCCUGUAAUUGUUCCCCUUGAAC